GAGCCCAGCCCUAGAUUCCCAGGUCUUUUUCAAUCAGUGAUCAUUCCUGACCACAGAUCACACACGAUGGACUUGGGGCUCAGCUUGGUUUUCCUUGUCUUUAUUAUAAAAGGUGUCCAGUGUGAUGUACAGUUGGUGGAUUCUGGUGGAGGCUUGGUGCAGCCUGGAAAGUCCCUGAAACUCUCCUGUGUGGCCUCUGGAUUCACCUUCAGUAGUAGCUACUGGAUGCACUGGGUCCGCCAGGUUCCAGGGAAGGGGCUGGAAUGGGUCGCAGCCAUACAUACUGGUGGUGGUAGCACCGCUUAUGCCGACGCCGUGAAGGGCCGGUUCACCAUCUCCAGAGACAAUGCCAAGAACACUCUCUACCUGCAAAUGAACAGUCUGAGGUCUGAGGACACGGCCACGUAUUACUGUGCAAGAGACACAGUGAGCGAAUGUAACUGA